rnacentral:rRNA from 1 species
UACGGGGGGGUGCGAGCGUUGUCCGGAAUCACUGGGCGUAAAGGGCUCGUAGGCGGCCAACUAAGUCAGACGUGAAAUCCCUCGGCUUAACCGGGGAACUGCAUCUGAUACUGGAUGGCUUGAGAUUGGGAGAGGGAUGCGGAAUUCCAGGUGUAGCGGUGAAAAUGCGUAGAUAUCGGAAAGAAACAUCAGUGGCGAAAAGCGGCUUC